UACAGAGGGUGCAAGCGUUAAUCGGAAUUACUGGGCGUAAAGAGUGCGUAGGUGGUUAAUUAAGUUAGGUGUGAAAUCCCAGGGCUUAACCUUGGAAUGGCAUUUAAAACUGGUUGGCUAGAGUUCAGGAGAGGAAAGUGGAAUUUCCGGUGUAGCGGUGAAAUGCGUAGAUAUCGGAAGGAACAUCAGUGGCGAAGGCGACUUUCUGGAAUGAUACUGACACUGAGGUACGAUAGCGUGGGUAGCGAACAGG
rnacentral:rRNA from 1 species